AUAAAUAUACCAAGCUGCUUUGCACUAAAAAAUUCUCUUAUUGAAAGUUUUUAAAAUUUCUAGUUUAUGCAGCAAUGUCAAAGUUCCAAAUAUUACAGUCACAAUUUCUCACCUCACCAUGACUAUAUUUAUGUAUUCAUAGCAGAAAUCUGGAAACAACAUAAAUCUCACAAACUAUAUCACUGUGGUGGAGGAUAAUGGAAGCCAUUUCCUCAGAUUCUUGCUCAGAGACUUUUGGGGCAGGCAUGAGAACUCGAGCAGGCUCUUCACCUCUCCCCAUUGUACAAGGAUCUCAGGGAAGAUGCUCUCCUAAUCUUGUCACCUCUGCUCAUUGGCUGGCAGAGGCAGAAUGGGUCCAGGUCCAAGCACCCAUGGUAACGCAGGAUGCAACAGCAGACUUAGACAAAGAAAUCAGGAACACAGAGAAAAUUAGAAAGUUCACAUUUAAAAAUACCAAACAAAAAUUAGAAAGUUCACAUUUAAAAAUACCAACUCAUAUGAAUUUUAAGCAAUGCUUUAUUUUGGCACUUGAUGCAAUAUUUCUUUUUCUUAUUUCUCUGGUAAUAAAACAUUAAGAAACCAAAGAUUUUGUGACGUGCUGUGCAAACGUGAUAAAUGAAAGUAUCAUGCCAAAAACAUUCACAGUUCAAUCACACAGAGCAAAAGCAGAUUACAAAUGAUGACAGCAAACCACAAGAGUGAGGUCUGGUGAGCCAGUAAACACAUUUUGGUUACAGCCACAAACACACCAGACUUGUUUAGCCUUUCAGUUACAUUGGCUCUUCAGAUGAUUUUGAAUGGGAAUAUUCCCUUAUGACAUAGGUGUCAAUAACAAGAAUACUAUGUUCACUGUUUUUCAGACUGGGAGAUAGGAGGUGAUCCUUGCAGAUAUCAAGCAAUGGUGACCAAAUGCCUAGAGAAGAGAAGACUGAGAGAAGGCCUCAUUGUGAUCUUCAACACCUUCACAAGGGAAAGCAGAGGGGCAGAUUACAGUGUGGAGCUUAACAUGGAGCAGGAUCUGCAGCAGUGACCCUGACAGAGAAGGGCACUGUGAGAAGCAGGUGAUAUAAAAUUGUUUGAAUCUUCUCUGUUUGUCAAGUGUAAACCAUGAUGUGCUGGCACAAGGCAUAUUCCCUCCAAACCAGCCCAGCAUUCACUUGAAAAAUUUCUACCAAUGAACCCCCCUCUCCCUCAGGGCUCCCUGAACAGCUGUGCACAGGAACAAGAUGCUGAGCCUCAUAGGGAAGCUCCAGAUGAAUGCUUUCUGCAAAACUAUGCAGCUUUAAAAGGAAACUGGGAUGUCCCUGAAAGGAUGGUUCCCACCAGCAGCUCCUCUGAACACAGAAGCAUGGCUUCAACAAAAUUCAGUCACUGCUCUCACCCCUCCAACAGCACUGGCAGUCCUGCCAUGACCCCCACCAUCCUGCAGCAAAAACCCAAGCAGCAAAAUAUAAUUACAAAUGAUCACAUACAUUUUAAGGGGAGUAAAAAUAUGAAAUAUAAGAAAAAGCACCUUGAAGAUGAGUGAUUCACAGUGAUGGAAAAAAAUUGAUUGCAAUGUAUGAAGCCCAUGAAUCAUUUUGAGAUCUUCAGUCAGAUAAAAUAUUAUUAUUAUUAUUUUUAUUAUUUUUAUUGUUGUUUCAUGUAAGUAAUGAUUGCAUUGCAUUUGAAAUGGCUUUGUAAUUUCCUGUGUAAUGCUACCCUUAGGUCUCUUCUAUAUUACCACUUUUCAAUUAUCUUUUCUUUUUCUUCUUGAAUGUAUAUGUUUUGAAUUAUUUUUUCAUCUGAUGUAUCAGCCCACUCUUCUUCAGAUUGAAUCUUAUUUUAUUAUUUCCUGCCCACAUUUCUACGGUUAGUAGUUUAUUGCUUUGUAAAGCUGAAAAAAUAAAAUAAAAUAAUGUUCAUGUCAUGUGUUUGUAUUUAUAUCUAAAGACACAUAGUCCUUGCUACAAGCACUUUUUAAAACAUCUUAGGGACAUGCUCCAAUUCACUAUUGUGUGCAUAUCUGUGCAUUCAGAUUGGAAAGAAAACCAAAUAUAGCCCGAUAUUAUAAUUAUAUAUUGCAAUCCAAAAACCCUUUGAAUUUCAAGACGUAUUCAUGCCGAAAGGAGGUGAGUAAAACCCAGCUCUACCAGGUUAAGAAAUGGAGAAUUUCAAGGUCAGUGUUGCUCCAGGAAAAUUCUCCAGCGUUGCUGUUUACUUAUUGCAAAAUUAAAUCACAAUUGUGGAGCACAGCCAUAAGGUUUAGAGGGAUGAACCCAUACAAGAAGCAGCAGGCAAGGACAAGAAACCCCUCAAGAGGAAAGUCAGACCUCAGACCAGGACCCAGGCGUGGAACAGGCAGGAUUCCCAGGUGGCACCAGCUACCAAGGGGACCGGGGAGCUGCUCAGCCACCACCUCUCUACAUCAUCUCAAGCAAAACCAACACAGCUUCACUGCUCUAAACCUGCAGAUUUCACCUACUGAGCUUCCCUUAGCCACAGGACUCUUAACAAUUACUGCACAGAAAAAUCAGGGACUUCUUUACCUCUACAUGCAGCACCUUCAUUUAGACUUCAAUGAGGUUGGACACAAUGAAACCUGACUACAAAUCUUACAGAGACUUCUCCACUGCUUGACACUUUUGACAUUAUCAUCAUAUUAUCAUCAGGCUCAGGGUGUGACUCUUGGGACUGUCCUGUGCAAGGUCAAGAGCUGGACUCAAUGAUCUUUGUGUGACUCUCUCAACUCAGAGUAUUCUGUGAUUCUGUGGUCCAUCCCAUUUGGUCACUUGGCAGACUGAGUUACACUGCUCAUCUCAGCAAAAACUGACAUUAAUUAAAAAAAAAAUCUUUUCCAUUUAACUGGUAAUGACUGAGGGUACAGUUGUAACUUGAAUUGUUUUAAUAUUUCUACUAGAGAAAAAGACAAAAAAAAAAAAAGAAAAUAUUAAAAUCCUCAGGAAUAAGAAUUUUUCUGUUUUCUCUGCAGGGGUUUAUUUUUAUCUGGUUGGUUUUUUAAAAAUUAAAACUAAAAAUAAGUAUUACAACGUUUUUACAUGGCUUUAAAAAUCCAUAAUUAACUUUUCUAAAAUACAUGCCACUGAAAACAGAUGGCAAAUGGCAUUUAAAAGCAGAAAUUUUAUUAAAGCAUUUCAGAGGCUAUUAAACUGACUGUCACUCUCUCCUGUCUGUGCAAGGAUGAUGAAUGAUAUAAUGAAUUGCCUUCAUGCCUGCUUCUCAGUCAUUUUAAGUGAACUGAGACUGGGAUGGGCUGUUUCCCUUUCUCAGGUUUAUUUUUGCUUUGUUUUCAUCAAUCAAACAAUUUCUGUAUCUUCUUUAUUUUUAAGACCACAGGUUCCCUGAAGUAGUGUACUAAUUUAGUAGCACCAGAAAGAAGUCCUAAAAAUCCAACUGACUAUCCUGGGAAUCACUGCUGCAGUUUAAUAAGCCUCGGUUUUCUCUUACUAAUCUAAAAUAAGACUUGGCACAUGAUAUUUGCCAGCUGUUGUACAUUUACUGCUUUAAAUACAUUUUUAUUGUCAAUGAAGCACUGUGAAGAACCCACUCAUAGCCUUAUUUGGAUUAAACUUUACACUAUGCCA